GACGAACGCUGGCGGCGUGCCUAAUACAUGCAAGUAGAACGCACAGUUUAUACCGUAGCUUGCUACACCAUAGACUGUGAGUUGCGAACGGGUGAGUAACGCGUAGGUAACCUGCCUGGUAGCGGGGGAUAACUAUUGGAAACGAUAGCUAAUACCGCAUAAUAUUGAUUAUUGCAUGAUAAUUAAUUGAAAGGUGCAAUUGCACCACUACCAGAUGGACCUGCGUUGUAUUAGCUAGUAGGUGAGGUAACGGCUCACCUAGGCGACGAUACAUAGCCGACCGGAGAGGGUGAUCGGCCACACUGGGACGGAGACACGGCCCAGACUCAUACGGGAGGCAGCAGUAGGGAAUCUUCGGCAAUGGACGAAAGUCUGACCGAGCAACGCCGCGUGAGUGAAGAAGGUUUUCGGAUCGUAAAGCUCUGUUGUAAGAGAAGAACGGGUGUGAGAGUGGAAAGUUCACACUGUGACGGUAGCUUACCAGAAAGGGACGGCUAACUACGUG
rnacentral:rRNA from 1 species